rnacentral:piRNA from 1 species
UGACAUUUCCUGAAUUGGGUGAGAUGUG